rnacentral:rRNA from 1 species
AGAGUUUGAUCAUGGCUCAGGACGAACGCUGGCGGCGUGCCUAAUACAUGCAAGUCGAGCGGACCGACGGGAGCUUGCUCCCUUAGGUCAGCGGCGGACGGGUGAGUAACACGUGGGUAACCUGCCUGUAAGACUGGGAUAACUCCGGGAAACCGGGGCUAAUACCAGAUGCUUGAUUGAACCGCAUGGUUCAAUCAUAAAAGGUGGCUUUUAGCUACCACUUACAGAUGGACCCGCAGCGCAUUAGCUAGUUGGUGAGGUAACAGCUCACCAAGGCGACGAUGCAUAACCAACCUGAGAGGGUGAUCAGCCACACUGGGACUGAGACACAGCCCAGACUCCUACGGGAGGCAGCAGUAGGGAAUCUUCCACAAUGGACGAAAGUCUGACGGAGCAACGCUGCGUGAGUGAUGAAGGUUUUCGGAUCGUAAAACUCUGUUGUUAGGGAAGAACAAGUACCGUUCGAAUAGGGCGGCACCUUGACGGUACCUAACUAGAAAGCCACGGCUAACUACGUGCCAGCAGCCGCGGUAAUACGUAGGUGGCAAGCGUUGUCCGGAAUUAUUGGGCGUAAAGCGCGCGCAGGCGGUUUCUUAAGUCUGAUGUGAAAGCCCCCGGCUCAACCGGGGAGGGUCAUUGGAAACUGGGGAACUUGAGUGCAGAAGAGGAGAGUGGAAUUCCACGUGUAGCGGUGAAAUGCGUAGAGAUGUGGAGGAACACCAGUGGCGAAGGCGACUCUCUGGUCUGUAACUGACGCUGAGGCACGAAAGCGUGGGGAGCGAACAGGAUUAGAUACCCUGGUAGUCCACGCCGUAAACGAUGAGUGCUAAGUGUUAGAGGGUUUCCGCCCUUUAGUGCUGCAGCAAACGCAUUAAGCACUCCGCCUGGGGAGUACGGUCGCAAGACUGAAACUCAAAGGAAUUGACGGGGGCCCGCACAAGCGGUGGAGCAUGUGGUUUAAUUCGAAGCAACGCGAAGAACCUUACCAGGUCUUGACAUCCUCUGACAACCCUAGAGAUAGGGCUUCCCCUUCGGGGGCAGAAUGACAGGUGGUGCAUGGUUGUCGUCAGCUCGUGUCGUGAGAUGUUGGGUUAAG